AUAACUCAAACCAACCCCAAAACCCCCCCAUUACCCCCCCUCUCUCUCUUCUCUCUAAGGUACUGUUCAUCUGUCUUCAAUCCGUACACUCUUCUCCGCUUCUAAUUCACCUCUCUGUGUUUCUGUUAAUUGGGUCUCGUUUUCAUAUAAUUGGGGAUUGUAUAUCCAAUUCCCCUGUUUUCCGUAAGUUUUCAGCCAUUUCUCUGCAUUCAGGAAACACCCCACCAGUUUCUAUUAACGCUUAUGGGUGUUUGUUUCCUUCCUGCGCAACUGAAUUUGAAGCAAAACCCCCCAAUUUCUUUUUUCUUUCCGGCCUAAGAUUUCGAAAUUCACGCUCUUUAAGGUAAUUGCUAAUGACAGCUGUGGUUUUCUGUACAGGAAGCUUCCUCAAUUUCGCCAUUCCCGGACCUCGAAGGGCUACAGUGUGUUGUACACUGACUGAAGCAGCUACAGAAAAAGGUUAGUCCUUCUACGCAAUAAUUGGAAGGAAACGCAAGAUUUCUUACCAUUAAACGAAGCAAUUGUGUUAAGUUAACUCUCAGUCUCUCUCGGCAAUUAUCUUCACUGCAAAGCAACAAAAUCCACCGC
rnacentral:lncRNA from 1 species